CAGCAAAGUGUUUGCGGACCUCAACCGCC
rnacentral:sRNA from 1 species